GACGAACGCUGGCGGCGCGCUUAAUACAUGCAAGUCGAACGAGAAGCCAGAGCUUGCUCUGGUGGAAAGUGGCGAACGGGUGAGUAACACGUGAGAAACCUGCCCCAAAGAUUGGGAUAAGCCUUGGAAACGAGGUCUAAUACCAAAUACCUUCCUUUUAACACAUGUUAAAAAGAAGAAAUGCUCCGGCGCUUUGGGAUGGUCUCGCGAUCUAUCAGCUUGUUGGUGAGGUAACGGCUCACCAAGGCAUCGACGGAUAGCUGGUCUGAGAGGAUGUCCAGCCACAUUGGAACUGAGACACGGUCCAAACUCCUACGGGAGGCAGCAGUAGGGAAUCUUGCACAAUGAGGGAAACCUUGAUGCAGCGACGCCGCGUGCGGGACGAAGGCCCUAGGGUUGUAAACCGCUUUCAGUAGGGACGAAAGUGACGGUACCUACAGAAGAAGCCCCGGCCAACUAUGUGCCAGCAGCCGCGGU
rnacentral:rRNA from 1 species